CCUACGGGGGGCAGCAGUCGAGAAUCAUUCACAAUGGGGGAAACCCUGAUGGUGCGACGCCGCGUGGGGGAAUGAAGGUCUUCGGAUUGUAAACCCCUGUCAUGUGGGAGCAAAUUAAAAAGAUAGUACCACAAGAGGAAGAGACGGCUAACUCUGUGCCAGCAGCCGCGGUAAUACAGAGGUCUCAAGCGUUGUUCGGAAUCACUGGGCGUAAAGCGUGCGUAGGCUGUUUCGUAAGGCGGGUGUGAAAGGCGCGGGCUCAACCCGCGGACGGCACAUGAUACUGCGAGACUAGAGUAAGGGAGGGGGAACCGGAAGUCGCGGUGUAGCAGUGAAAUGCGUAGAUAUCGAGAGGAACACUCGUGGCGAAGGCGGGUUCCUGGACAUUAACUGACGCUGAGGCACGAAGGCCAGGGGAGCGAAAGGGAUUAGAUACCCCGGUAGUC
rnacentral:rRNA from 1 species